rnacentral:rRNA from 1 species
CUGGCUCAAGAUGAACGCUAGCGACAGGCUUAACACAUGCAAGUCGAGGGCAGCAUAAAAGUAGCAAUACUUGGUGGCGACCGGCGCACGGGUGAGUAACGCGUAUGCAACCUACCUAUCAGAGGGGAAUAACCCGGCGAAAGUCGGACUAAUACCGCAUAAAACAGGGACACCGCAUGGUGAUAUUUGUUAAAGAAAUUCGCUGAUAGAUGGGCAUGCGUUCCAUUAGGUAGUUGGUGAGGUAACGGCUCACCAAGCCGACGAUGGAUAGGGGAACUGAGAGGUUGGUCCCCCACACUGGUACUGAGACACGGACCAGACUCCUACGGGAGGCAGCAGUGAGGAAUAUUGGUCAAUGGGCGAGAGCCUGAACCAGCCAAGUCGCGUUGAAGGAAGAAGGAUCUAUGGUUCGUAAACUUCUUUUGCAGGGGAAUAAAGUGCAGGACGUGUCCUGUUUUGUAUGUACCCUGAGAAUAAGGAUCGGCUAACUCCGUGCCAGCCGCGGC